CGCCAACACUGGGACUGAGACACUGCCCAGACUCCUACGGGAGGCUGCAGUCGAGAAUCUUUCGCAAUGGGCGAAAGCCUGACGAAGCGACGCCGUGUGUAUGAUGAAGGCCUUCGGGUUGUAAAGUACUUUCGCUUGGGAACAAGAAAGGC
rnacentral:rRNA from 1 species